rnacentral:rRNA from 1 species
GGGCUGCAGUAUUUUGACUGUACAAAGGUAGCAUAAUCAAUAGUCUCUUAAUUGGUGACUUGUAUGAAAGAUUGGAUGAGAUAUAUACUGUCUCUUGUUAAUUUAUAGAAAUUAAUUUUUUAGUAAAAAAGCUAAAAUAAUUUUAAAAGACGAGAAGACCCUAUAGAGUUUAAUAAUUUAUUUAAUUAUUAUUAAUAUAUAAUUUUUAAAAUUAAAAUUAAAUAAAUUAUUUUGUUGGGGUGAUAGAAAAAUUAAAUUAACUUUUUUUAAUUAUUUACAUUAAUUUAUGGUUAAAUGAUCCAUUUAUAAUGAUUAAAAGAAAAAAUUACCUUAGGGAUAACAGCGUAAUUUUUUUUUUUAGUUCAAAUAGGAAGGAAAGUUUGCGACCUCGA